rnacentral:rRNA from 1 species
GAUGUACGCUGGCCGCGUGCCUAAUCUACGCAAGUCGAACGCAACUUCUUUAUCACCUAGUGCUUGCGCUCACCGAUAAAGAGUUGAGUGGCGAACGGGUGCGUAAUACGUGGGCAACCUGCCCAAAAGAGGGGGCUAACACUUGGAAACAGCUGCUAAUACCGCAUAACCAUAGUUACCGCAUGGUAACUAUGUAAAAGGUGGCUAUACUACCGCUUUUGGAUGGGCCCGCGGCGCAUUAGCUAGCUUGUAGGGUACAGGCUUACCAUGGCAAGGAUGCAUAACCGAAUUGAGAGGUUGAUCGGCCACAGUGGGACUGAGACACGGCCCAAACGCCUACGGGAGGCAGCAGUAGGGAAUCUUCCACAAUGAGCGAAAGCCUGAUGGAGCAACGCCGCGUGGGUGAAGAAGGUCUUCGGAUCGUAAAACCCUGUUGUUAGGGAAGAAAGUGCGUGAGAGUAACUGUUCACGUUUCGACGGUAUCUAACCAGAGAGCCACGGCUAACUACGUG